UUGUAUUGUUUCUUAAUCUUAUAGUAAAUAUACAAGGUCCCGAAACGCUUGCAAAGCCAACAAACUGAUACAGAACGGGGUUCUGUUGGGGUUCUUUUGGCUUUGCAAGCGCUACUGGAGCCUUGUGUUCGGUUUGGUGCAAAGAGCGGACCCAGAAUCUGAGGCAUCAUCUACAGCUACUGAUUAGAGCUGGAAAAACCUUGAUGUAACAUCGAUAAUAUAGAUGUUGCCAAAAAUGUUGCAACAUCGACAUUCGUCACUUGCAACCGGGUAAAAGAGGAAGCAUCAACGCGUGGUAAGAGUAAUUGGUGGUGUUGGCAGGCAUCGUGGGAGAAUUAUGGACACAUUUUUUGAAAGAACAUCGAAAGUGUUUCUAUUGUCACCAUCGGCGUUUUCGGAACCACUGGAGUACGAAAU